AAGCAGUUGUUCAUUUUAGUGGGACUUGUGCAUGAAAACAUGCUGGUGGGUUGAGCUUCAUGCGUUGGAUUGGUCUCCAACUCUGCUGCCCUUAAUGGUGCACAAAAUCUGCCUGAGGUAACAAGCUCACUUUACCUCAUGGCAGGGGCACAGUGUUACCCUGAGGGGGGAAAGGCUCAACAGAUAAUGUCAAGUUAAACACAUAAUGCAGCAACCAAGAUACCUGGGACUGAAACAUGAUAUAACCCAGGGUGAUAUAAUUACCUUCUUUGACUAAUCAGAGGCCAGGGUUGAAGAGCAAAGUAAUGACAUUGCCAGCAUGGAACAGAGUAAACUGAACAUAUUCCUAGUCUUUUAGACUUAUUAUAUGAUGCUAAGACAAAUCUUUCCACUCCCAGUCCCAGAGGGGCCUAAGUAGAAUGUAGCACCUGCUACAUUCAUGACUACACAAUUGCAUAGGAACUUGCCCCCUUUCCCUUCAUGUAGCUGACCAUUUACUAGCUGGUAAUUUACCAGUGUACAUGUAACCACUUGUUAAGCCAGCAUGGUUUUAUCAUGUGCUAACACAAAUUUUACCUCUCCCCUUAUUUCCUGGGUUUCUGAUAAGUAUGAAGAUUUUCCUCACAACCUGGCAGAACAAUAGAAACAAUGGGCUUACCAAAUGGUUGUGUGCACCAUCUAGUAUCUUACCACCCAGCAACAAAAUUGUGUGUAUUCACUAAAAGUUUACUCCAAGCAGCCACAUUAAAAUGUUGGGUUCUAGUUUUGUUUUUCACUUUCUGCGCAAAGCUGAAAGUCGGUUGUAGGACUCCUUGCUUUACCAUGAACAGCAACAGAACCAUAUUUUUCUCAUUGCUGACUGUAGAACCUAAAAUGGUUCUCUUCUCACAUAAUAGCCGCACACCGUUCCCAAUGGAGGAAAGAGCAUUUAGGAGCCUCAGACCUUCAAAUACCAUAUUCUCUCUAAGCUCCAUUCUUACUUGCUUAGCUACCUUUCAGUAUAUGACCCAGUAUUUCUGCCUUUCCUGCAUGCUUCCAAAUUGUGCUGGGGUUCUGGGUUUUGCUUUGUUGCUUUUUGUCUUUCUCUUUUAGGCCUUCUCCUCAGCUUGAUCCUUCCCACCCCAUCUCCUGGGUACAGGAACUGGAUUCUGGGCCCCUAAAGCAUGAUGUGGCAUGAUGUGGCACCCAACUGCAUGUGCUGCCCUAGAAUGUUGCGCUUCUGUCCUACUUCUUUUGCUCACUGGGCAUGCAGACGAGUUCACAUUAUGCGUCUCUUGUCCACCACCAGCUUCCUAAGCACUAAUUGAGAUCAGCCACUCCUCUCUCAUGGGAGAAAAAGUGUUCCCCCUUCUCCCACACCAAAGUGCACCAGAAAUUUUGAGCUAGGAGCAGAAUGGUUUAGGAUUUUUACCCACAAAGCACUGCAGGGCUGAUUAAGAUGGACAUGGCAGUAAGCACACUGCUUGUUUAUUUUUGGGCCAUUUCCCCCCAGCCCUGCCUUGAAAGAGGCAGCAGGUUCAUUCCGUUCGUGAAACCAGACAGGCUGAGAAUAUUUUAAGCUUUUUCUGAAGCUGGGAAAUCAAAUGCUACUCCCCUGUCACCUUUGGUAAAUUAGCUGCUAUGUUCUCAACUCUGAGGAAAUUAAGGGGAGCCCAACUGAAUUUUAAACGCCUGUGUCAAUUGCCAGACUGAGGGGCGAGAAGAUGGGGGGAAACAAGCAGCAAAGAAACAGAGCAGGUAUGAAAUGCUGUACCCCAAAACAAAAAGUUCAGGAUUUUUCCUGAGUGUAGAGGAUUUUACACACACACACACACACACACACACACACACACACACACACAAUUUCUUUUCCGUUCUCUCACUUUUUUUAGAUUAAAUUCAUUUCCACCCUCCACUGUCUGUCCCUUACAAAGCCACUAGAUUGUUUCACCCAAUGAAAAAAUGUUGGCCACAUAACACCCUCCCCCAUUCCUGUUCUAACCAUCCGCACUUGCCAUUUUUUCUAUUGAUUCUUCUUCUCAUCCCUUUUAGUUUUUUGAGUUCUUCACUGCUGAUGAGGGCUCCUUUAGUCCCCCUCACCUUUCUCCCCAAUCACCCCUUCCAUCAAUGUCCACCAGGAAUCAUAAAUAAUAUCCCCGGUAUGGCGAGGAAAUGGAAAAUAAAGAACAACAAAACAUACGAAAACUGGGCUAUAGUUAAGAAAGCAGAGGGGCUGGUUGUCCGCAUGGGCGGCCGCUCUUUCCACCAGCUUUGAGUCGGGCCUUGGGACUUAGAUGCCAAAGAAAAUGAAGUAGGGCGGUGGGAGGUGAUAUCAAGAACAGUUCAUCGCCCAACUGUAUAAAGCUGCCCAAGCCUGUCUUUGGCCUCUUUGCUUCUGCUUAUAGCCUAUGAAAGGUGGGUCAGAGCAGAGCUUAUGCAGCACACAAAAUUUGUAUGGCUUACGUCCAAGUUACCAUCACCUUAAAAUGUACAACAUCGCAGACUUAUCCUGGCUUAACAGUCAUUCCCAUGAAAUCGUAACUCUUUAAUUGGAAUUAGGGACAUACAGAAUUCUUAGCCCCCUCACUGUGCUACAAUUUGCUGAGGGAAGCCAUGACAGUUAAACUGGUAUACAGCUGAUAUAUGCUGUUUUGUAGCAUAGAAGUGCCCUCAAUUAGCUAGCAGGGCUGAAAACAAAUUCACCUGAGAUAUUUAUGAAACCCUGGAGAACCACUGACAAUGCUUGGCCUGCACUGACAUGGGCUGAAAUGAGGAGGAAAAUUAAGAGUUAGGACUGCAAGGUCCUAUCCCUUCUCCUCAGCCUUCUCCUUGACCAAGCCAGCUUGGCAAAGGACAAAGUUAGCAAGUCCCACCAAUGUGGCCUGGCAUCAGUUCCGGCUCUCAAGAGUCAAGCUCUCAUUCUCCUCUCUUUCCUCUUGGCCUUCUCUGCAGAUCCGCGUAGUGAAAGCGUUCCGUAGUUCCCUCUACGAAGGGCUGGAGAAGCCAGAUACGAAGACCUCCAUCCAUAACUUCAUGACAACGCCCGAGUUCUUGAUCAACGACUACAUCCACAACAUCCCCCUCAUUGAUGAUACAGACGUGGAGGAGAGCGAGGGUCCCCCGAGACGGCGCUUCCGGGCCAGUCCCCCACCAUCCCCCAACAAGAACAACAACGCCAUUGACAGCGGCAUCUACCUAAGCACGGAUGCCAGCAAGACACCUACCUCCUCGUCCAGCCCUGUUAGCCCGCUCCACAGCAUGGAAACUUCCCUCUAACACAACCCCACCAUGCAACCAGUCAAAAUGACUUUCUGCACAGCAGGGGUGUUCAGUUCCUCCUGGGAGACAAGGACUAGCUGAGUGAGUCAGGAAAGAAAGCGGGCAGGAGAUGGCGUUUCUCCUCUUGACACUGGAGGUUUUUUCUCUUAACGGGGUGGAAAUGGACACGGUUUCUGCCACUGGUUGGCUCAGGCAAAUGAAGACGAGAAACUGAAUGGAUGCAAUGAAAAGCGAUAGACAAACUGUGAAGGGGGAGAAAAGUUUUCUUCAGAAUCACCCGUGAGGGGUUUGUGGCUGAGUCCCGGAGGGUGUACAGGAAAAAAAACAACCACCCAUUUCUCUAGUCUGUUCUUCGUUUCUCUUUGGACACAAAACACACUCACCGAACCCACGAUAAUCCCCCGUUUGGGGGUUGCUUUGAUUUAUUUCUGGGACCUCUUUUCAGGUUUCCCCUCCCCCCCAAAAAAAGUUUAAAAAAGGAACUAUAUUUGCACCAGAAAAAGAACAAAAAAAAGGAAAAAGGAAAAAAGAGGAAUAAUCUAGACAUCUAUUAUCCUAAAUAUAUAUAUAUGAUACCAACCAACAGAUGUAUUAACGGACCUUCUGACCAUAAACGCAUGCCUGUUAUCAAACCCUCUUUUCUCCUUUCCCCUCUCCCCCAAGGGAAUUUCAGCCUGGGGCAAAUCUGUUUUUGUUUUGUUUUUUUAAAAAAAAGAUCAUUGCUUGCUGUAGCUUGUAUUUUAUAUCAGGGUUUGCCAGGGAAAGAACACUGAUUAUUUCCUCUUGGGAGCGGGAAUUGACUGUGGGGCAGUUGCUGAGUACAGUAACAGAAGCCCUGGUGGGCUGGGUCUUGCACAGAUGCAGAGUGGCGGAAAUUAAGGGUCUGGUUGCACUGGCACAAAUUUGGGCCUUUUCAGGCAGUUAUCCAGAACCUGACCCAAAGCAGGCCUCCCUGAAAUGGUGUGCUGCCCACCAAGCCCCCUCCCUGGAAGUACCCUCAAUCCAAAUGCUUCCUAAAGCUUCCAAUAAAUAUCUGAGCAAAAGAGACUGCUUAGAAGAGGGGGAAAGAUAAAGAUUGAACUACUUUUUUUUUAAUCUACUAAGAAAGAAAGCAACAACUUUCUUGAUAUUUGAAAUUUCUCAUUCAAAGCAUUAAUCAGACUGGCAAAGAAGUUGUAUUUCUGAUAAUCUUAUAUUUUGUGCCCAAAAUGAAGGAAUAGGUUUCUAGCCCUCAUGGUUGUGGAAAGACAUUUGAAAGCAUGCAGGCUUAGUGGCCAGCAGUUAAUGACUACUCAUCAAGUAGUUCUGGCUUCCACUCAUUUUUACUUAAUAAUGCUGAUUUAUAUUCAGUUUUAUUCCAGAGUUUAGUCAUGUUAUAAUGCUUUUCCUUUUACACUGGUUUCAAGGACUGCAUAUCUCCACACCCGAUGACAGUACCUGCAAAUGCUGGGCUGGGAGAAACAAGGUUAUUAAGAAAAUUCCAAUUUUCCUUAAGGAGACUUCAUGCAUAUCCAUUCUACUUCACUAUUUUUUCCUUCACACAAUUGUGUACCAUGGGAGCCACAAAUUCAGCCUCUGCAAUCCCCACAAUCAGAAAAGAUCCCAAAGGUACCAUGGCAGUGAGGACCGGGGUGCCCUUAGGAGCGACAAGGUGGGAGACAGGUCCAUGAGGCCCAACGCACUGGGAAGCUGGUCUGCCACACAGAGAAAAGAGAGCACUGCUGCCUCUUCUUGCAGCUCCCAUGCAUUACUGUUCAGCCUGUUUGGGUGAAUGGCCUGGUGGGCUGUGCCUCAUACUAGUUAGCGGUAGAGAAUGCGUACCAUUUGUACACAUUUCUGCCUCGUACGCCAAAAUCACAAGGCAACCGUUUGAAGGUGGCAGAGAUUCCUGCUGCUGAACAGUGUGUAUUCCUGGCUCACAUACUACCUUGAUCCUAUGCACAGAUAAGUGCUGUGAGGUGGUGGUGAGGAGGUAAUGUUUUCUUUGCUCGUUUAUAUCCCACUCUUCCUCUCGGUUCAGGGUAGCCUAUAGCACAUUAUUCUAUGUUAGUCCUGCAACAAUCCUGUCAGGACAGAGAGUUAGAGAAUGAGUUCAUAGAAUCCUAGGGUUGAAAGGUACCAUCUAGUCCAAAAUUGCAGCAGUCUUUUGCCCAAGGUGGGGCUCAGACCCACAACCCUGAGAUCAAGAAUCUCAUGCCGUAUCAGAGGCCACCAAGCAGCUUCCAUGGCUGGGUGUGAUUUCCCUUGUUUAACUCUGAUGCGCUAUUGGAUGGAUGCGCUGCAUUGGCUUAGAGAACCUUUGGUCUAGCAGGCGAGGGCAGAGAAAGAAAAGUUGAGGUUCACGGCACAGCAGCACAUGGUGUCAUAAGGUUAGAAAAAUGCCUUUAUUGCCCAGAGAGAAUACUGGCUUCCACCAGGUUAAGCUUGCCUUCAUCUUCUUCCAAACCAGCUUAUCUUAACCUCAGUUAUACAACAUUCCUGCCAGAAAGAACCUGCGAAAAGCUCCAAACUGCCACUGGCUUUCCAUGGCAGCAAGCACGGAUCUGGGCAGAGUGCAAUCACUGAACUUAAAUGAAGGGCCAGCACCCUUUUGCUGAUGCUUUCUUACAAGUAUCUGGUGCCGUGGUCUGCACUGAUACAGUUCCGCAAUGUGGGGCUACAUAGAGGCCACCAAAGAACCAUUCAUAGUUCUGUCACACACGGUGACAAAGGAGCUGCGCCUACAGCAGCCAGGGGGAGAUGGGGAAGGAGUCAGGAGUCAUGGGUGCUGUCCCUGACCAGACUGUUUUGUCUUUCGCUGCGAAAAUGAGUCGCCCUCAACCCCUUGCAGCCCCAGCUUUCUCCGCGUAUAAAAAACACGUAACUAAAAGUAUGUAAUAUUUAGAAACUGUGGAACAUACUCUGCAUUUUCCCAGGGCAAACCUGCUUGAAAAUACCAGCUGCAGCACUGUCAGAAAAGCCAUCCCUUCCACGGAAGGGCAAAUGCCAAACCCAUCUGUAAAUCUUUUUGUCGUCAUCUUUUCUUUCC